rnacentral:rRNA from 1 species
AGGUGUCGGGGGAUCGACCCCCUCGGUGUCGUAGCCAACGCGUUAAGUGUUCCGCCUGGGGAGUACGCACGCAAGUGUGAAACUCAAAGGAAUUGACGGGGGCCCGCACAAGCGGUGGAGUAUGUGGUUUAAUUCGAUGCAACGCGAAGAACCUUACCAGGGUUUGACAUCCUGCGAAUCUCUUGGAAACAGGAGAGUGCCUUCGGGAACGCAGUGACAGGUGGUGCAUGGCUGUCGUCAGCUCGUGUCGUGAGAUGUUGGGUUAAGUCCCGCAACGAGCGCAACCCACGUCUUUAGUUGCCAGCAUUUAGUUGGGCACUCUAGAGAGACUGCCGGUGAUAAACCGGAGGAAGGUGUGGAUGACGUCAAGUCAUCAUGCCCCUUACAUCCUGGGCUACACACGUACUACAAUGCUACGGACAAAGGGCAGCAAGUUCGCGAGGACAAGCAAAUCCCAUAAACCGUGGCUCAGUUCAGAUCGUAGGCUGCAACUCGCCUACGUGAAGGCGGAAUCGCUAGUAAUCGCAGGUCAGCAUACUGCGGUGAAUACGUUCCCGGGCCUUGUACACACCGCCCGUCACACCAUGGAAGUUGGCCACGCCCGAAGCCGUUACUCCAACCCUUGUGGAGGAGGACGUCGAAGGUGGGCUGAUGACUGGGGUGAAGUCGUAACAAGGUAUCCGUACCGGAAGGUGCGGAUGGAUCACCUCCUAA